UCCACAGACUACGUUCAAUGCCCUUACUGUCAGCGGAGGUUCAACGAGGGUGCGGCCGACAGACACAUCAAGUUCUGCCAGGAAAAGGCUGCCUGUAAUCCCAACAAGAGCAAGCUAGGAGAGGCCAAGAAGACUCCUGGCCGUACACAGUACAAGCCUCCAACUCCUGUAAAGAAGACCAACUCUACAUCAACCAUCCCCUCAGCCUCUACUCGUUUACCCCAGAGAUCAGCUCUUGGACAGCCCACUGGAAUCCCUGCUGGUAAGGUCUCCUCUGCAGGUUUGGUGAAGACAAAUCCCACUGGCAUCACAAGCCCUCCAUCAGGAGCGGGAACAAAGCAACGAGCAGCAAGUUCGUACGGCUCCGUGAGGAACAUUCAGGCCAAAGUAGGACUCAACAAGAAGAAAGUAGACAACAAUAUAUCCAGGUAAGAAAGAAAGAAAGAG